AGUACCGUGAGGGAAAGGUGAAAAGCACCCCGGGAGGGGAGUGAAAUAGAACCUGAAACCGUGUGCCUACAACAAGUUCGAGCCCGUUAAUGGGUGAGAGCGUGCCUUUUGUAGAAUGAACCGGCGAGUUACGAUAUGAUGCGAGGUUAAGUUGAAGAGACGGAGCCGUAGGGAAACCGAGUCUGAAUAGGGCGCAAUAGUAUUAUGUCGUAGACCCGAAACCAUGUGACCUACCCAUGAGCAGGUUGAAGGUGAGGUAAAACUCACUGGAGGACCGAACCAGGGCACGUUGAAAAGUGCUUGGAUGACUUGUGGGUAGCGGAGAAAUUCCAAACGAACUUGGAGAUAGCUGGUUCUCUCCGAAAUAGCUUUAGGGCUAGCGUCGACAUUAAGAUUCUUGGAGGUAGAGCACUGUUUGGGUGAGGGGUCCAUCCCGGAUUACCAAUCUCAGAUAAACUCCGAAUGCCAAUGAAUUAUGGUCGGCAGUCAGACUGCGAGUGCUAAGAUCCGUAGUCGAAAGGGAAACAGCCCAGACCACCAGCUAAGGUCCCAAAAUAAUUGUUAAGUGGAAAAGGAUGUGGGGUUGCACAGACAACUAGGAUGUUAGCUUAGAAGCAGCUAUUCAUUCAAAGAGUGCGUAAUAGCUCACUAGUCGAGUGACCCUGCGCCGAAAAUGUACCGGGGCUAAAACAAUUUACCGAAGCUGUGGAUACCUUUAUAGGUAUGGUAGGAGAGCGUUCUAUGUGUGGAGAAGGUGUACCGUGAGGAGCGCUGGAACGCAUAGAAGUGAGAAUGCCGGUAUGAGUAGCGAAAGACAGGUGAGAAUCCUGUCCACCGUAAGACUAAGGUUUCCAGGGGAAGGCUCGUCCGCCCUGGGUUAGUCGGGACCUAAGGAGAGACCGAAAGGUGUAUCCGAUGGACAACAGGUUGAUAUUCCUGUACUAGAGUAUGUAGUGAAGGAGGGACGCAGUAGGCUAACUAAAGCGUGCGACUGGAAGUGCACGUCUAAGCAGUGAGGUGUGAAUUGAGUUAAAUGCUUAAUUCUGUAACAUUGAGCUGUGAUGGGGAGCGAAGUUUAGUAGCGAAGUUAGUGACGUCACACUGCCAAGAAAAGCUUCUAGCGUUAAUCAUACUCUACCCGUACCGCAAACCGACACAGGUAGUCGAGGCGAGUAGCCUCAGGUGAGCGAGAGAACUCUCGUUAAGGAACUCGGCAAAAUGACCCCGUAACUUCGGGAGAAGGGGUGCUGGCUUUAAGUCAGCCGCAGUGAAUAGGCCCAAGCAACUGUUUAUCAAAAACACAGCUCUCUGCUAAAUCGUAAGAUGAUGUAUAGGGGGUGACGCCUGCCCGGUGCUGGAAGGUUAAGAGGAGUGCUUAGCGUAAGCGAAGGUAUGAAUUGAAGCCCCAGUAAACGGCGGCCGUAACUAUAACGGUCCUAAGGUAGCGAAAUUCCUUGUCGGGUAAGUUCCGACCCGCACGAAAGGCGUAAUGAUUUGGGCACUGUCUCAACGAGAGACUCGGUGAAAUUUUAGUACCUGUGAAGAUGCAGGUUACCCGCGACAGGACGGAAAGACCCCAUGGAGCUUUACUGCAGUUUGAUAUUGAGUGUCUGUGCCACAUGUACAGGAUAGGUAGGAGCCAUAGAGAUCGGGACGCCAGUUUCGAUGGAGGCGUUGUUGGGAUACUACCCUUGUGUUAUGGCCACUCUAACCCGGUAGGUUUAUCAUCUACGGAGACAGUGUCUGACGGGCAGUUUGACUGGGGCGGUCGCCUCCUAAAAGGUAACGGAGGCGCCCAAAGGUUCCCUCAGAAUGGUUGGAAAUCAUUCGCAGAGUGUAAAGGUAUAAGGGAGCUUGACUGCGAGAGCUACAACUCGAGCAGGGACGAAAGUCGGGCUUAGUGAUCCGGUGGUUCCGUAUGGAAGGGCCAUCGCUCAACGGAUAAAAGCUACCCUGGGGAUAACAGGCUUAUCUCCCCCAAGAGUUCACAUCGACGGGGAGGUUUGGCACCUCGAUGUCGGCUCGUCGCAUCCUGGGGCUGUAGUCGGUCCCAAGGGUUGGGCUGUUCGCCCAUUAAAGCGGCACGCGAGCUGGGUUCAGAACGUCGUGAGACAGUUCGGUCCCUAUCCGUCGCGGGCGUAGGAAAUUUGAGAGGAUCUGCUCCUAGUACGAGAGGACCAGAGUGGACUUACCGCUGGUGUACCAGUUGUCUCGCCAGAGGCAUCGCUGGGUAGCUAUGUAGGGAAGGGAUAAACGCUGAAAGCAUCUAAGUGUGAAACCCACCUCAAGAUGAGAUUUCCCAUGAUUUU
rnacentral:rRNA from 1 species